UUCGCAAUGCCCGAAAGGGUGACGAAGCGACGCCGCGUGGGUGAGGAGGGCCUUCGGGUUGUAAAGCCCUGUCAGGAGUUAGGAAAUGUAGACUCGCUAAUAUCGGGUCUAUUUGACAAAGGCUCCAAAGGAAGCCACGGCUAACUCUGUGCCAGCAGCCGCGGUAAUACAGAGGUGGCAAGCGUUGUUCGGAAUUAUUGGGCGUAAAGAGCACGUAGGUGGAUUUGUAAGUCAGACGUGAAAGCCUUCUGUUCAACGGAAGAAUUGCAUCUGAAACUACAAACCUUGAGUGUAGGAGGGGAGAAUGGAACUUCUGGUGGAGCGGUGAAAUGCGUAGAUAUCAGAAGGAACGCCGGCGGCGAAAGCGAUUCUCUGGCCUAUUACUGACACUCAGUGUGCGAAAGCUAGGGGAGCAAACGGGAUUAGAUACCCCGGUAGUCCUAGCCGUAAACGAUGGGCACUAAGUAGAGGGGUUUU
rnacentral:rRNA from 2 species